AUCGACAUAGCUCAAUGGCAGAUGCGUUAGUCCCAUACCUGAGAACAAAGAAUCUCGGGGUCAGCUGAAGGUUGCAAGUUCGAAUCUUGCUGUCGAUC